rnacentral:rRNA from 1 species
GACGAACGCUGGCGGCGUGCUUAACACAUGCAAGUCGAGCGGAAAGGCCCUUCGGGGUACUCGAGCGGCGAACGGGUGAGUAACACGUGAGUAACCUGUCCUUGGCUUUGGGAUAACCCUCGGAAACGGGGGCUAAUACCGGAUAUGACCUUGUCCUGCAUGGGGUGGGGUGGAAAGUUUUUCGGCUAGGGGUGGGCUCGCGGCCUAUCAGCUUGUUGGUGGGGUGAUGGCCUACCAAGGCGACGACGGGUAGCCGGCCUGAGAGGGCGACCGGCCACACUGGGACUGAGACACGGCCCAGACUCCUACGGGAGGCAGCAGUGGGGAAUAUUGCACAAUGGGCGGAAGCCUGAUGCAGCGACGCCGCGUGAGGGAUGACGGCCUUCGGGUUGUAAACCUCUUUCAGCAGGGACGAAGCGUGAG